rnacentral:ncRNA from 2 species
CCUUCCGAGGAGCGCUGCGACCCUCUACGGAACCCGAUCCAGCAAGCGAGCGAGCCAAAGCGGCUUGUUGCCGCCCGAAGCACAGGAAACGGAAUGGACGUCCAUGAGGACGACCCGAAGGUAGCCCCCUUGCGGGGUUCCGAGCAUCGGACGGAAGCAAAACGCACAGGCGCAGCCGCUUGAUGUACGGGUUCGGGGCCAGGCUCGGAACGAAUCCAACGGCGCUCACCUGAC